CUCUGGGUCACCUCCCACCCGUGUUUAUCGUACCUUGUUGCUUCGGCGGGCCCGCCUCACGGCCGCCGGGGGGCAUCCGCCCCCGGGCCCGCGCCCGCCGAAGACACACAAACGAACUCUUGUCUGAAGAUUGCAGUCUGAGUACUUGACUAAAUCAGUUAAAACUUUCAACAACGGAUCUCUUGGUUCCGGCAUCGAUGAAGAACGCAGCGAAAUGCGAUAAGUAAUGUGAAUUGCAGAAUUCAGUGAAUCAUCGAGUCUUUGAACGCACAUUGCGCCCCCUGGUAUUCCGGGGGGCAUGCCUGUCCGAGCGUCAUUGCUGCCCUCAAGCACGGCUUGUGUGUUGGGCUCUCGCCCCCCGCUUCCGGGGGGCGGGCCCGAAAGGCAGCGGCGGCACCGCGUCCGGUCCUCGAGCGUAUGGGGCUUCGUCACCCGCUCUGUAGGCCCGGCCGGCGCCCGCCGGCGAACACCAUCAAUCUUAACCAGGUUGACCUCGGAUCAGGUAGGGAUACCCGCUGAACUUAAGCAUAUCAAUAAGCGGAGGAA
rnacentral:rRNA from 1 species